rnacentral:lncRNA from 1 species
ACAUAGUCCCCCCAUUUUAGGGGACCAAAAGUAUUGGGACUAAUUCACUUCUAUGUGUAUUAAAGUAGUCAAGUGUAGUAGUAUUUGGUCCCAUAUUCCUAGCACUCAAUGAUUACAUCAAGCUUGUGACUCUACAAACUGGUUGGAUGCAUUUGCUGUUUGUCUUGGAUGUGUUUCAGAUUAUUUUGUUCCCAACAGAAAUAAAUAAUGUAUUGUGCCAUUUUGGAGUCACUUUAUUGUAAAUGUUUCUAAACACAUCUACAUUAAUUUGAAUGUUACCAUGAUUGAGGAUAGUCCUGAAUAAAUUGUGAAUAAUGAUGAGUGAGAAAGUUACAGAUGCACAAAUAGCAUAUCCCCCCCAAAAACCUUCAGUUAUUGUAAUAGUGAGAGGUUAGCAUGUCUUUGGGGUAUGAUAUUUGUGUCUAACUUUUUCACUCAUUAUUCAAUGCAUCCAACAAGUUUCUAGAGUCACAAGCUUGAUGUAAUCAUUGCGUGCUAGGAAUAUGGGUCCAAAUACUACACUUUUGACUACUUUAAUACACAUGAGUGAAUUUGGCCCGAUACUUUUGGUCCCCUAAAAUGGGGGGACUAUGUACAAAAAGUGCUGUAAUUUCUAAACGGUACACCUGAUACGGAUGAAAACCCUCAAAUGAAAGCUGUCAGUCUGCUCUCAUUGUAUUAUUUACAAUACAAAACUACAACAAAAAAGUGUCACUGUCCCAAUACUUUUGGAACUCACUGUAUAUUUUUGGAACGUAUGUUCAGAAAUAUGAGGCAGAGACAUAGGCUACAUCAUCAUAUCGAUCUAAUUGGUUGAGGGUUCAGAAGAGGGCGAGCAAAGAGAGAAACAUGACUGUGUGUGAAUAACACAUGCACAGUAUGGGAUUUGGAUUCUUAGAUUUGAGAGAGAAGUUUCCAGAAGGGGAGGGACUGGAGCAGAAACUCUGUAUUCGUAGCCUCGGCCUAAAAAGAAACUCCACCACACUGGAGAUCUUGAUCCUCCACAACUGCAUCAAUCUGAAAACACCAAAUAUAAUGGCAGAAAUCAUAUUAGAUGAUUUUGCUUCCACCUAUCCAGCCGUUUCAUUCAGAUCAAUGCAGAAGACGAAGGAUAGGACACAAGGUCAGGGUGCCGCUGUUGACUAUUGGGACGCAGGCACUCUGUCAGAUGGGCUGUAGUGUAGCAUGGGUGAAAAAGGCUACUGAUCUGUCUGAUUAGCACAAUACUUGAGCAUUCUAAAGAACUGCACUUUCAACUAAAGAGCAACAUGUGUUCUCUCUGAAGUGGCACUCAGGGAGAACCGGCAAGCAGUGGGUGUGUGCCUCCUGAAGGGUAGCCACCCUGUGAUUCUUGCAGGUCCCUGCCCUCUGCUGGUGAAAGUGCAUUUUUACAACAAGCCAAGAAAGCAGUGUGCCACCAAUCUCCUAAUUAUCCAUCUCCAUCAAAUACACAUCUAACCCCUCACAUGUCAAAAUAUACCUGAAUUUAACAAUGCUGUCAUAGUGAAUAAAAAAGCUGUAGUGCUGGUUGCCCUUGGCGCCCAUGUGGAGUGUCUGACUGUUUGCCAUUCACCUGGCUCCUCAUCGAGGGAAGUUCCUGAAGCUGCCUGUCAUCAUGGUUACACUGUUCUCUUCUCAUUGCCGUCUCAGUGAUGAAAGUAAUACGUGUGUGAUGGUGUGGGGAUGCUUUGCUGGUGACACUGUCUGUGAUUUAUUUAGAAAUCUUAUCCAGCAUGGCUACCACAGCAUUCGGCAGCGAUACAACAUCCCAUCUGGUUUGCGCUUAGUGGGACUAUCAGUUGUUUUUCAACAGGACAAUGACCCAACACACCUCCAGGCUGUGUAAGGGCUAUUUGACCAAGAAGGAGAGUGAUGGAGUGCUGCAUCAGAGGAACUGGCCUCCACAAUCACCCGAUCUCAAUCCAAUUGAGAUGGUU